rnacentral:rRNA from 1 species
UACGUAGGGUGCAAGCGUUAUUCGGAUUUACUGGGCGUAAAGCGUGCGUAGGCGGCUAUGUCAGUCGAAUAUUAAAUUUACGGGCUCAACUCGUAAGCUGUAUUCGAUACUGCAUAGCUAGAGAGUGGAAGAGGCAGACGGAAUUCCUGGUGGAGCGGUUAAAUGCGUAGAUAUCAGGAGGAACACCAAUGGCGAAGGCAGUCUGCUGGGCCAUUUCUGACGCUAAGGCACGAAAGCGUGGGUAG